GGGAUGGAAGGAAAAUUUUCUAUCUACAGCAGCUAGAAAUCUUUUACUAAAAUCUGUAAUCCAAGUUAUCCCUCCUAUUAUAUAGUGUUUUCGUUUGCCAUCAUCGUUUUGUGAUGAAUUGCGCAUGAUGAUUAGUCAAUUUUGGAGGCGCCAAAAUGCGGAGGAAAAACAGAUGCGGCUAUGUUCUUGGCAACAAUUGUGUCGCUUGAAAGAGGAAGAGGAUCUCAGGUUUAGGGAUUUGAUUGCUUUAAUCAAGCUUUGUUGGAUAAGCAGGGUGAAGGUUAAUUCAGCUUCCGGAUUCCUUAAUAUCUCGAUUGUUGAAGGCUCGAUAUUGUCCUCGGUUUCAUUUCUUGAUACUCCAAUUGGCUCUAAUCCUGGUUACACCUGGUGGAGCAUUUUAUUUGGAAGGGAUGUUUUAUUACAAGGAUUGUGGUGGCAGAUAGGAUAGACAGCUAGUUAAUAUAUGGAGAGACCCAUGGCUUCCCCAACCUUUAUCUUUCCG
rnacentral:misc_RNA from 1 species